CAAACUCGGUGUUGCUGCCAUUGUGUUCUUUGUCAAGACACUUAAUGUUACGCCUGACAUAGUGGUUGGAGCGACACCUCUAACCCAGAAGUAAUGGGUUCAAGGCUCGGCGCUGCUACCAUUGUGGAUGUAUGUGUCAUUUGGCAAGAGUCACUUAACGGCAAUUACUCCAACCCAGUGGUCACUAAUGGCUUGUCUAAAAUGUCAGCCAUACAAUAUAAAAAAGUUA